UACGGAGGGUGCAAACGUUGCUCGGAAUUAUUGGGCGUAAAGCGCACGUAGGCGGUCUAGCAAGUCGGGUGUGAAAGCCCUCAGCUUAACUGAGGAAGUGCAUUCGAAACUACUAGGCUUGAGUACUGAAGAGGACGACGGAAUUCCCGGUGUAGAGGUGAAAUUCGUAGAUAUCGGGAGGAACACCAGUGGCGAAGGCGGCUCUCUGGGACGGUACUGACGCUGAGACGCGAAAGCGUGGGGAGCGAACAGG
rnacentral:rRNA from 1 species